rnacentral:rRNA from 1 species
AUUGAACGCUGGCGGCAUGCCUUACACAUGCAAGUCGAACGGCAGCAUAGGAGCUUGCUCCUGAUGGCGAGUGGCGAACGGGUGAGUAAUAUAUCGGAACGUGCCCUAGAGUGGAGGAUAACUAGUCGAAAGACUAGCUAAUACCGCAUACGAUCUACGGAUGAAAGUGGGGGAUCGCAAGACCUCAUGCUCUUGGAGCGGCCGAUAUCUGAUUAGCUAGUUGGUGGGGUAAAAGCCUACCAAGGCAACGAUCAGUAGCUGGUCUGAGAGGACGACCAGCCACACUGGGACUGAGACACGGCCCAGACUCCUACGGGAGGCAGCAGUGGGGAAUUGUGGACAAUGGGGGCAACCCUGAUCCAGCAAUGCCGCGUGAGUGAAGAAGGCCUUCGGGUUGUAAAGCUCUUUUGUCAGGGAAGAAACGGUAGUAGCUAAUAUCUAUUACUAAUGACGGUACCUGAAGAAUAAGCACCGGCUAACUACGUGCCAGCCGCCGCAGUAAUAC